rnacentral:rRNA from 1 species
UACGUAGGGGGCAAGCGUUGUCCGGAAUUAUUGGGCGUAAAGAGCUCGUAGGCGGUUUGUCGCGUCGAAUGUGAAAACCCGGGGCUCAACUCCGGGCCUGCAUUCGAUACGGGCAGACUAGAGUUCGGUAGGGGAGACUGGAAUUCCUGGUGUAGCGGUGAAAUGCGCAGAUAUCAGGAGGAGCACCGGUGGCGAAGGCGGGUCUCUGGGCUGACACUGACGCUGAUGCGCGAAAGCUAGGGGAGCGAACGGG